UUGAUCUCCAAAGGUUUGCUUCAUUGAGUCUGAUAAUGGUGCAUGACGUGAAGAAUGUGAGCUAUACUCUAGUCUCACAUUACCUGGGUUUUACUUAGUCAUCAGUGUAAUUUAUCUAAGGGCAGCCUGCUGCUAAAAAAAGAGCUCAGCUUGAAGCCUUCUAGCUUACACAGCAGGAGUCUUCUAGAAAUUUUGCCACUGGAUCGAAGUCUAAGACUAGAAGUAAAGAGGAAAUUCCUUUCACUUUAGUUUGAAGAAACAGAUGAGACUCUGGACAAAGACUGCAAGCAAAGGAAGAACCAGUCACUUCACACAGAGCAUGGGAGUUUUGGCAUCACCAGUUAUCCUUUAGGCAUGGAAGAGCUUUCCAUCAUUACUCCAAUGUCUAACUACCACUGUCGCUUCAAAAAAGCCUCUCAAGAAAAAAGAAAACUGAGGCCCAUCGAGGUUAAAUAACUCACCCAAGUUAAACCGGAUAAUCAAAGGCAGAAACUGGGAUUUGAACUGGAUAAUCUGCUUCAGAGCCAAUGUCCUUAACUAUAAGCUUUAGACCUUCUGCCUCCUACAUAAGUCUAUUAGAAGAAUCAAAUAAGAACAUCUGAGUGAAAGUGAAUUUUAAGGCAUCGGCAGAUGUAAAGAGUUUAUAUUAGUAAUGGACUCCUGAAACAUGCGGCGUGGUUGAGGAUUGGGCUUGCACAUAAGAGCCCUUGCCAGCAUGUGAAUGCUGUGACCAAUCCCUUAGUAAGUGUGGCAAGUAUUAGAAUAAUUUAUUUCACUUGAGUCUUAUUUGAAUUUUAGCAUUUUAUCAUAUUAGCCUCAAGGAACUGAACAGAGGAGUUCAUGCAAAACCCCAGUGACGUUCUUUUUAUAUUUUACUACAGAUAGUCUGCUCUUCCCAGAAAUUCCUUGAAGGUAGAAACUGUAACUUUUACCACAUGCUAUGUCCUGCAGGGCUAUCUCAGGGCUUUGAAGAUAGAGUAGGUAGUCUAUAAAUAUUUGUUAAAUAAAUAAAUGAGUUAAUUAUAACUCUAUUUACAUUGGGCUUUUACUCAAAUAAAAUAUCAACUUUAUUUUUGGAGUGUCUUGGUUGCCAGGGACAUUUUUAUAUACACAGAAGCCUCCCAGCUCCCCUCAUCCCACUUCCCACCAGCAUUUUCCUGUAGUAACUGCCAUCACAAUCUUGAGUAUAGAGAAAGCAGAGUUUAACUCAAAUGUUCUUUAAUAGCAGCAUCUCUACUGAGUGGAAGGGAAAUUGAUUAUGAUGGUUGUCAGAAUGCAAGAAAAUAAGUUAAAAUCUAGACAUGGACUAAAUGGUAUCUCUGACUUUAAAGAAUCAAGUUCCACUUAUCAGUAACUUAAGAGCACUCCAAAUGCAUAGAACAGAUAGAAACACAAUGCAGAAGUACAAGACCCAUUUGCAGAAAAUCAAAGCUCAUCCAUACAUUUUUCUUUUCUUUCUUCUUUUGGUAGUAUGUGUUAAAAGAAUUCACAGCAUCCCUUUAUCUGGGUUAAUAACAGUAUAAACCUGAAUGUUUUACAGUGGGAAUUGAAAAUUCCUGAUAAGUACAAACAAAAGCAGAGUAUUCAUUUUUGGCUUCAGCUGUGCCAGGAUGUAUCUUCCAGCGCAGGGUCUUUGGGGGUAAGGGCAGCGUAAAACCCUGCAGAGGUGAGGAGCGAGAGCAAGCAGAUCCAAACCGACCAGUUCUCCCUGGAUGUUCACUCCUUCCUCCACACUCCCUUUUCCGCUUGCAUAGAUUGCCUUCUCCAGUGCAGCAUGUGUUUAGGAUUAAAGAUCUAAAACCUCAAUGGAUGGUUUUUCUCAUGGGGUGACAGCAAAUGGAAGUGAUCAAAAUUGGUUUUGUGCUCUAUGGAGCUCUCUGCCCGACACUUAAAUUCGCCAGGACUGACAAACAGGGCCUGCCCUUGGGUCCUUCUUCAGUGCUGAUAACUAGACAUAGCAGCUGAUGUGCCUAAGGCUAGGGGAACAGGAGUUUACAAGCUCAAACAGCAACACUCUAGACUUCUGUGGAUUACCUUAGUUCAAAAGAAAAGGGUAACAUAUACAGAAUUAGAACAAAGGACCAAUGAUUUAGGGUAUGUCCAACAGAUGUCCAAAGGAAUCUAAGGGAAGAUACUGGCAUUAUAAGAAAGAUCAUAAAUAAAUUGUAGUAUUAUGUAAAAAUACACCAACUGAAAUGAAGAAGGAACACAUUAAUUGAUAUCAGGAACACAUAGCAUAAGUAUGAGGAGGAAUCCAGCUUGGGGGAAAACGACAGGGAGUUAAAAGAACAGAUACAAACUCCGGCCCGGAAGACACCAGAAAAAGAUUAAGAUAUGAAAUAUACAUAAAAAUAUAUAUAUAUAAAAUCAGAGCUAUAAGGUAUGGAAGACAGAGUUUAAACUGUCAGAACACACACUAGACGUCCCAUAGGAGAGAAAAUUAAAAAUGGAUAUGAGAAAAUACAUUUUAAAAUGAAUAAAAAGCUGGUAUUAAAGAUAAAAAGACCUGAGUUGAAACUGUCAGAUAGGAGAACAAAGGAAACAUUUAAACAUAUUUAGACAAAUUUAGACAUAUUAUGGAACAUUUUUACAAUAUCAAAGAAGAGGGAAAAAAUUAAAUGCUUCUAGGAGAAAAAGGAGGUUAUCUCUUAAAAGAAUAGGACUCAGAGUGGCAUCAGAAUUGUUCCCAGUGAUGCAAGAUGUAAGAAGGAAAUAGAGAUCUUUUGGACUGAAGGAAGAUAAUUUUGCACUAAAUCUUCUAUCAUGUGUAUAACUGUAACAAAAAUAUUUUCAACCAUAUCUCAACCAUGUCUUAAAUCAUUCAUCACAUGUGGUAAAAUACUUUUGAGAGGAAAUAAUAAAAUAGUGAGACAGGAAAUGCUACUAGAGAUAUGUGAAUUAAGGGUAUUCAGUUAUUUAGAUGAAGUUUGUUGGUGUUAAUAAUAAAGGUAUGAUCAGAGAAAGAAAAAAUAUUAUAUCUAUAUUAUAUAUAUGAAAUAAAAUUAAUUGAUGAUUGGUAAUUAAUUGAUAAUAAGGUAGUGGCAGUAAAUUAACAUGGAGAGUGAUCUUCAAUUAAUAACAACAACCUAAGAUAUAAAAAUAAGAGCACUAAUAUCUAAGGCAGAAAAUGACCUCUAUCAAAAAGAAAAGAAGGGGAACAUAGGAAACAAAAGAGGUUGCAAAUAGAAUAUAUACAAUGUCAAGAAAUAAUUGGGUAGUUCAUGCUGUGAAACCAAUCCAACUAGUAUCCAUGAGGAUGCGGAUUGAAUCCCUGGCCUUGCUGAGUAGGUUAAAGA